GGAGCUGUGGCUCAAUGGAAGAACUUCUGCUUGGCAUGCCGAAGGCCCCAGGUUCAAUCCCCGGCAUCUCCU
rnacentral:tRNA from 1 species